rnacentral:rRNA from 1 species
UCUGCCUAGAGGAUGGGGACAACCACGGGAAACUGUGGCUAAUACCCAAUGAGCGGAGACGUUAAAGAUUUAUCGCCUCUAGAGGAGCUCGCGUCUGAUUAGCUAGUUGGUGGGGUAAAAGCCUACCAAGGCGACGAUCAGUAGCUGGUCUGAGAGGACAACCAGCCACACUGGGACUGAGACACGGCCCAGACUCCUACGGGAGGCAGCAGUGGGGAAUUUUCCGCAAUGGGCGAAAGCCUGACGGAGCAAUACCGCGUGAGGGAGGAAGGCUCUUGGGUCGUAAACCUCUUUUCUCAGGGAAGAAGAAAGUGACGGUACCUGAGGAAUCAGCCUCGGCUAACUCCGUGCCAGCAGCCGCGGUAAUACGGAGGAGGCAAGCGUUAUCCGGAAUUAUUGGGCGUAAAGCGUCCGUAGGUGGCUCUUCAAGUCUGCUGUCAAAGAGUGGGGCUUAACUCCAGAAAGGCAGUGGAAACUGAAAGGCUAGAGAGCCGUAGGGGUAGAGGGAAUUCCCGGUGUAGCGGUGAAAUGCGUAGGGAUCGGGAAGAACAUCGGUGGCGAAAGCGCUCUACUG